UACAGAGGGUGCGAGCGUUAAUCGGAAUUACUGGGCGUAAAGCGUGCGUAGACGGUUAUUUAAGUCAGAUGUGAAAGCCCCGGGCUCAACCUGGGAACUGCAUUUGAAACUGGCGGGCUUGAGUAUGGCAGAGGGGGUGGAAUUCCGCGUGUAGCAGUGAAAUGCGUAGAGAUGCGGAGGAACACCGAUGGCGAAGGCAGCCCCCUGGGCCAAUACUGACGCUCAGGCACGAAAGCGUGGGGAGCAAACAGG
rnacentral:rRNA from 1 species